GAUCCUGGCUCAGGAUGAACGCUAGCUACAGGCUUAACACAUGCAAGUCGAGGUGCAGCAUUUCAGUUUGCUUGCAAACUGGAGAUGGCGACCAGCGCACGGGUGAGUAACACGUAUCCAACCUGCCGAUAACUCGGGGAUAGCCUUUCGAAAGAAAGAUUAAUACCCGAUGGCAUAAUUAGACCGCAUGGUCUUAUUAUUAAAGAAUUUCGGUUAUCGAUGGGGAUGCGUUCCAUUAGG
rnacentral:rRNA from 1 species